CGAAGAUACCAGCUGGCUGCAACUGUUUAAUAAAAACACAGCACUGUGCAAACACGAAAGUGGACGUAUACGGUGUGACGCCUGCCCGGUGCUGGAAGGUUAAUUGAUGGGGUCAGCCGCAAGGCGAAGCUCUUGAUCGAAGCCCCAGUAAACGGCGGCCGUAACUAUAACGGUCCUAAGGUAGCGAAAUUCCUUGUCGGGUAAGUUCCGACCUGCACGAAUGGCGUAAUGAUGGCCAGGCUGUCUCCACCCGAGACUCAGUGAAAUUGAACUCGCUGUGAAGAUGCAGUGUACCCGCGGCAAGACGGAAAGACCCCGUGAACCUUUACUAUAGCUUGACACUGAACAUUGAGCCUUGAUGUGUAGGAUAGGUGGGAGGCUUUGAAGCGUGGACGCCAGUCUGCGUGGAGCCAUCCUUGAAAUACCAC
rnacentral:rRNA from 1 species